rnacentral:lncRNA from 1 species
AUUUUAAUUUGCUCAGCCACAUUCCAACGCACGCUGUGGAAUCGAGAGCUCGGGAAGAUCAAAGAGGCAAAAAAAAAAAAAAAAAAAAGGGAAAAAAAUGAAAGAGGAAAAAACACAGGAAGGACUUGUGCCACAAUCCUGCUCCCUGGCAUCCCUGGAGCUUGGGCCAGGGUCUCAGGACAUCAGCGCCCAGCACAACAUGUACCACCCUUGGGGUGGAGAGGACAAGAGGCCAGGCAGGGGCCUGUGAACCCUCGGGGAUAUUUCAGCUGGGUGUGUCCUCCCACAUCAUCCUCCUCCCUUGGACAUUCCCAUCCUCCGGGAACAAAACCACCCCUGUGCCAGAAAAGCCAGCGGAUCCAAGGGGACAGCAAGAACCUCGUCCCCACCCCGACACCUCCCUCCUUAACGUUUCUUUUUCUUUUUCUUCUUCUUCUCCCCCGUCUUGGCCUCCUCGGCCGCUUUCUUCUCCUCCUUCAGCGUCUUGUACCUCCACUGAGGCGGCUGCAGCAGGUGCUUGUCCUUCACGCGUGGCUUCCGCUCCCCGGCGGACGAGCCCGAGGCUUUGCUCACUUUGAUUUUUGGGACGGGCUCCCCGGGGAAGAUGCUGUUCCCACGGCGCAGCCACAGCGGGAGGAAGCUCAGGAGGCGGCUGGGCGGCCGUGGCGGCGGCAGCAGCCGCACCUCGGACGUGGCUUGGCCGUUGCAGGACGAUCCCCGGGUGCCGGGGCGCGAGGACGUUUGGGACUCGCCGUCCGGAUCCGGCACGUGCUGCCCGAGGAUCUCCGGCACCGACAGCCUGCGCUUGCCCACCUCGGGCGGGCUGUCGGGGCAGAUGGUUUGGCAAGCGGUAGCCACGAAAGGGCUGGCGAGGGACGUGGUCAUCCUCACCAUGUGGUCCAUCACACCGUCCUCCUCGGGAUUGCGGGGGAUGUUGAAGGUGAAAAUGGAUCGGAUCUUCUCCGACAGCCUCUUGCUCCUGGAUUUGGGGCUCAGGGCCUUGGCCACCAGCUCGN